rnacentral:misc_RNA from 1 species
UUUCCGUAGGUGAACCUGCGGAAGGAUCAUUGCACACACGAUGCAGCAAACUAGCGAACUGUGUUUGUCCCCCGCCUACCCCAAACACGAGGGGCCGCAUCUGGAGGUGCGGCUGUCGACGGCAAGGUCCCGACCUACGGGUCCCCGCAGCGGGUCCCGCAAGCGGGCUGAUCAUGUCGCCGUCUGGGUGUCCCGCGCGGGCUCUCGCCUUGCCUUAGGGUUGGGCGACGCGGGCAUUCUCCCCCCUUCGAUGGCGUCGUCCCCUCCUCCGGGAGAGCGACACGCCUCGCGGGCCGUUAACAACUUUGCACCAUGUACGACACCGGUGACUGGGUAUACCUGUGUCCCGGUUCCGCUGCUGCACUCGGGUGGUGCUGGAUUGGUCCAUAGGAACAAGAUUAAAUAAAAACAACUCUCAGCAACGGAUAUCUUGGCUCUU